UUUCACCAUCACCAACGCAUCUAAUAUUUUCUCUGACUUUCCAGGUUACAAUCUAGAAACAUACAAUCAGUGACAGGAUGAAAUGAAUGAGCAAACUUCAUUUAGAAGCUCAUUUAAAUACAGGAUCAGUUCAUUUGCAUAUUGAUCAGAUGCUUCAGUGCUCUGAGAGUGUUUAUAGUGCUGUGAGUUUAACACUUCAUCACUGACACACACAACAAUCUUCAUCAACAUGACCUUCAUCAUCAUCUUCAUCUGGACUCUCACAGCGUUUGCUCAAGAGAGUAGAGGACAGAUCAGCGUCACUCAGAGUCCCUCAACAGCAGCUCAACCAGGAGAAACAGUGAAGAUCAGCUGCAAAACCAGCAAAGAUGUGUACAGGGAUAGUGAUGGGACUGAAGGUUUAUCCUGGUACUUACAGAAACCUGGAGAAGCUCCUAAACUCCUGAUUUAUGAUGCAAACCGUCUCCAGUCAGGAACUCCAUCUAGAUUCAGUGGCAGUGGAUCUAACAGUGAUUUCACUCUGACCAUCAGUGGAGUCCAGACUGAAGAUGCUGGACAUUAUUACUGUCAGAGUGUACAUGAAAUCAACAGUGACUAUGUGUUCACACAGUGAUAAAGCGUGGUACAAAAACCUGUGUCAGUCAGAGUCACAGUGACUGAACUGAUGCUGCAGCUGCUCAAAGGAGGAUCUGAAACUCUGUUGUUUUUGCUCUUUCUCCUCAUAUUCUGACUCUCUGUAGGGAGAAGAGAAAUGCUGGAAACUGGACUGAUUGAAUC